rnacentral:rRNA from 1 species
GUUUGAUGGUAUCUACUACUCGGAUAACCGUAGUAAUUCUAAAGCUAAUACUUGUAACAAACCCCGACUUCUAGAAGGGAUAAAUUUAUUAGAUAAAAGGUUGACACGGGUUCUGCCCGUUGCUGUGAUGAUUCAUGAUAACUCGAUGGAUCGUACGACCAUCGUGCCUACCAUGGUGGUGAUGGGUGAUGGAAAAUUAGGGUUUGAUUUUGUAGAGAGAUCCAGAGAAAUGGCUACCACAGCAAAGAAAAGCAGCAGGCGUGCAAAUUCCUCAAUCCUGACAUGGGGAGGUAGUGACAAAAAAUAACAAUACCAGGAUCAAUAAGUCAGGUAAAUGGAAUAAGUACAAUCUAAAUCCCUUAACUAGAAUCCAGUGGAGGGAGAGUCUGGUGCCAGCAGCCGCGGUAAUUCCAUCUCCAAUAGCGUAUAUUUAAGUUAUUGCAAUUAAAAAGAUCGAAGUUUGACUUUGGGAUUGGCCAGCCGGUCCGCCUAUGGUAUGUAUUGGUCAUCUCGUCCCUUCUGUCGGUGAUGCGCUCCAGGCCUUAACUGGCCGGGUCAUGUAUCCGAAGCUAUUACUUUGAAGAAAUUAGAGUGCUUAAAGCAAGCCUACGCUCUGUAUACAUUAGCAUGGGAUAACAUUAUAGGAUUUCUAUCCUAAUACGUUGGCCUUUGGGAUCGGAGUAAUGACUAACAGGGAUAGUCAGGGCCAUUCGUAUUUCAUAGUCAGAGGUGAAAUUAUUGGAUUUAUGUAUUAUGAACAAAUAUAAAUGUAUUUUCCAAGGAUGUUUACAUUAAUCCAGAACGAAAGUUGGGGGCUCGAAGGCGAUCAAAUACCAUCCUAGUCUCAAUUUUAAAUAAUGACGACCAGGGAUCGGAGGAUGUUGCUUUUAGGACUCCGCCGGCACCUUAUGAGAAAUCAAAGUUUUUGGGUUCCAAGGGGAGUAUGGUCGCAAGCCUAAAACUUAAAGGAAUUGACGGAAGGGCACCACCAGGAGUGGAGCCUGUGGCUUAAUUUGACUCAAUACGGGAAAACAUUCCAGGUCCAGACAUAGUAAGGAUUGACAUACUAACUAUCUAUGCGGAGGUAUCCCUUCACGGCCAGCUUCUUAGAGGGAUUACGACCUUUUAGGCCACGGAAAUUUGAGGCAAUAACAAGUCUGUGAUGCCCUUAUAGGUGUUAUUUUCAAAGUAGUAGUGAAGUCAUCUCUUUGUGCUGAGGUAAAAGAGAAAUAAGUGAUGGAUCUUAUCAUAAUAUUAGUCAAGAAUGAUAUAGGUAGGUAUAAUGUGAUGGUUUUUAAGAUUCAUGGGUAUGGUACCUUGAGGGACCAUAAGAGGUUGUGCGUUCUCACUGUUGAUGGUUUAAGAAGGAGGUUUG